rnacentral:rRNA from 1 species
CGAUUAGUCGGUGUUAAUAUACGACCCGACUAGCAGCUUCCGGGAAACCAAAGUUUUUCGUUUCCGGGGAAGUAUGGUUGCAAAGCUGAAACUUAAAGGAAUUGACGGAAGGGCACCACCAGGAGUGGAGCCUGCGGCUCAAUUUGACUCAACACGGGAAAACUCACCCGGCCCGGACACCGUAAGGAUUGACAGACUGAGAGCUCUUUCUUAAUUCGGUGGGUGGUGGUGCAUGGCCGUUCUUAGUUGGUGGAGCGAUUUGUCUGGUUAAUUCCGAUAACGAACGAGGCUCUGGCCUAUUAAAUAGUCGGUAUAUCCAGAAAAGUUUACCGUACUUCUUAGAGGGACAAACGGCGUCUAGCCGCGUGAAAUAGAGCAAUAACAGGUCUGUGAUGCCCUUAGAUGUCCGGGGCUGCACGCGCGCUACACUGAAAGAAUCAGUAUGCGCUUUAACCUAGUCCGGAAGGAUUGGGUAACCCGAGCAAAUUCUUUCGUGCUUGGGAUAGGGAAUUGCAAUUAUUUCCCUUAAACGAGGAAUUCCCAGUAAAUGCGGGUCAUAAGCUCGCGUUGAUUACGUCCCUGCCCUUUGUACACACCGCCCGUCGCUACUACCGAUUGGAGGUAGAGCAGAGGCCUCGGGAUUGAUCUCUGGACUGGUUUCCGCUAGCCC